GGACGUUGAUUCUGUGGGCCCAUGUGAUCGCGUAAAAAAAAAAAACGGAACUGAACCGAACUAAGUGAGAAAGCAAUGUUGAUGCUCAUUUGCAGACUUUCUAAUGUUCUACAACAAUUACAACUAAGACCUUAAUCUAAACUAUAUAUUCCCAGCGUGUUUGACCGCGCACACACACUUAUGUGUACAUUGUGAGUUCUACACAAGUGGAAUAAAGAAA